CCUACGGGAGGCUGCAGUGAGGAAUAUUGGUCAAUGGGCGCGAGCCUGAACCAGCCAAGUAGCGUGAAGGAUGACUGCCCUACGGGUUGUAAACUUCUGUUAUAAAGGAAUAAAGUGAGGCAAGUGUGCCUUUUUGUAUGUACUUUAUGAAUAAGGAUCGGAUAACUCCGUGCCAGCAGCCGCGGUAAGACGGAGGAUCCGAGCGUUAUCCGGAUUUAUUGGGUUUAACGGGAUCGUAGAUGGGUUGUUAAGUCAGUUGUGAAAGUUUGCGGCUCAACCGUAAAAUUGCAAUUGUUACUGGCAGCCUUGAGUACAGUUGAGGUAGUCGGAAUUCGUGGUGUAGCGGUG
rnacentral:rRNA from 1 species